UACGUACGAGGCGAGCGUUAUCCGGAAUUACUGGGCGUAAAGCGCGCGCAGGUGGUGCCGUAAGUUGGGCGUGAAAUCUCCCGGCCUAACUGGGAGGGGUCGCCCAAGACUGCGGGACUUGAGGCUGGCAGAGGUAGGUGGAAUUCCUGGUGUAGUGGUGAAAUGCGUAGAGAUCAGGAGGAACACCGGUGGCGAAGGCGGCACUCUGGGCCGAUACUGACGCUGAGGCACGAAAGCGUGGGGAGCAAACAGG
rnacentral:rRNA from 1 species